rnacentral:rRNA from 1 species
GUGCCAGCAGCCGCGGUAAUACAGAGGUCCCAAGCGUUGUUCGGAUUCACUGGGCGUAAAGGGUGCGUAGGUGGUGAGGUAAGUCGGAUGUGAAAUCUCCGGGCUCAACCCGGAAACUGCAUUGGAAACUACCUUGCUUGAGGAUUUGAGGGGGGAUUGGAAUACUUGGUGUAGCAGUGAAAUGCGUAGAUAUCAAGUGGAACACCAGUGGCGAAGGCGAAUCCCUGGAAAAUACCUGACACUGAGGCACGAAAGCUAGGGGAGCAAACAGGAUUAGAUACCCUGGUAGUCC